UAAUAAAUAAAUCUUUAAAAAAAAAAAGAAUGCCAUUGCAAAACCAUAGCACCCAAGUCAGACGUUAGAAGAGAUAUUUCGUUUGGAGCAAAAUAUGGGUGACUAUGGCUUAGAAACGCAGACUCAAGGUAUCUCAAGUGCCAUGUUCCUAUUUGGUAACAGUUUUUGUAAUGACAGAAGUGAGUCAGAAGUCAGGGUACAUUCAAAAGAUGUCAGUGAAAGCUCCAUCAGGUGGGCAGAGCCCAGUACAGCAGGGAGAUCUCUCAGGGGCCUCAGAUACUAUCUGAUGGCAGUGACCGGUGGUCUCCUCUGGUGAAAGCUAGGGUGAAUCUGCACAUUCUAGAGGAGUUAACAAGGAGGGAUGUCAGGUCAGACACAAAGGUGGGAAAUGAGUGGCUACUAAGGAGGCUGAUGGACUUGGAACGUCCUGGGGCUCCAUAAUUACUGUUGUGCUGAGUCAGUAGACUCUUUAACCCAGGCGCAGCCCUUUCCUGGGCUCUUUAGUCCAUAGUUCUCCCUAUAGGUUAAGCAUCACCAUCUGCAUAUAGAGAGGGCAGAUAUUGCUCGAGUCCCAUGACAGUAGAAGGAUACAGGUCCCCUCAGUAGGCAGGGAUGCAGGUCCCCUCAGUAGGUGGGGAUGCAGGUCCCCUCAGUAGGCAUGGAUGCAGGUCCCCUCAGUAGGCAGGGAGGCAGGUCCCCUCAGUAGGCAGGGAUGCAGGUCCCCUUAGUAGACGGGAAUGCAGUCUUCAGGAGAGAGAAAUAGCAGGUAGAGGCACCAAGGAAGCAAUCCCUGAAUCAAAUCCACUCACUGGCCAUCAUGAUCUGGAUCUGACUCCCCCCAGCCACGCUUCUCAUAAUAUUUACUAGUGACAUAAAAUAGGAAUAUUAUACCUAAACUUAAAAUGAAUGUGAACACAGUAUGGUCGCGUUGGGUCACACACCCUUAAGCUGCCCCUUUCUUCCAGAAACCAGGCCAUGUCAUCCUGUAGCUCCCUCUCUGGGACACAGAGUUGAUAUAUAAAGUCACAAAGAUUGUGACUGCACUGCCAAAGUU